UACAAAUAUGGAUUCUUUUAGCAUCUUUGG
rnacentral:piRNA from 1 species